rnacentral:rRNA from 1 species
GACGAACGCUGGCGGCGUGCUUAACACAUGCAAGUCGAACGGAAAGGCCCUGCUUUUGUGGGGUACUCGAGUGGCGAACGGGUGAGUAACACGUGAGUAACCUGCCCUUGACUUUGGGAUAACUUCAGGAAACUGGGGCUAAUACCGGAUAGGAGCUCCUGCUGCAUGGUGGGGGUUGGAAAGUUUCGGCGGUUGGGGAUGGACUCGCGGCUUAUCAGCUUGUUGGUGGGGUAGUGGCUUACCAAGGCGUUGACGGGUAGCCGGCCUGAGAGGGUGACCGGCCACAUUGGGACUGAGAUACGGCCCAGACUCCUACGGGAGGCAGCAGUGGGGAAUAUUGCACAAUGGGCGGAAGCCUGAUGCAGCAACGCCGCGUGCGGGAUGACGGCCUUCGGGUUGUAAACCGCUUUCGCCUGUGACGAAGCGUGAGUGACGGUAAUGGGUAAAGAAGCACCGGCUAACUACGUG